UCUAAUACUUGGUUUUUGUGCUUCCUGUAGCCAAGAUCAGGAUGGAUAAUCUCUCUAUGAUGUCUGAGGGUAUGAUGCAACAGUUGAAAUGUUGUUCUGGACCAUGGAAAUCAUGAUGCAAAAAAGUGAGGAAGAGUAGGGAAGUAACUCCAAUGAAGAAGGACUAUGCAGUGUAGGUUUUAGGCUGCCAGACCCAUGUGCAAGUGGCUUGCUGUGUAUAUGCUGUGCACAGGAUCGUGGACAUCAGAAGUGCCUCUGAAUUGUCAAGAUAAGAUUUGCAUUCUGCUGCCAUCAGGGAAUCAGAUCCAGCAAUAUUAGCAUCCUUCACCUGCACCCUGUAGGAAAACAGAGUUGGAAGGGGUACUCUUUGCUGGCUUAACAACAGGCUGCAUGGCCAGGCCCAGAGCAUGGUGAGACCAGCAAAGACAAAAAUGACCUUUUAAUUGGA